rnacentral:rRNA from 1 species
AUUUUGGAUAAUGGGGGCAACCCUGAUCCAGCCAUCCCGCGUGUGCGAUGAAGGCCUUCGGGUUGUAAAGUACUUUUGGCAGGGAAGAUAAGGACCGGCCUAACACCAGGCGCCGCCUCCGCUACCCCCCGAUUCAGCACCGCUUAAACACUCUCCUUGAGCCGCGGUAAUACGUAGGGUGCAUGCGUAAACCGGAAUCACGGGGCGUAAACCGUGCGCAGGCGGUUCGGCAAAAAGGAUGUGAAAACCCGGGGCUUAACCUCGGAACUGCAUUUUUAAAUGCCGAGCUAGAGUAUGUCAGAGGGGGGUAGAAUUCCACGUGUAGCAGUGAAAUGCGUAGAUAUGUGGAGGAAUACCGAUGGCGAAGGCAGCCCCCUGGGAUAAUACUGACGCUCAGACACGAAAGCGUGGGGAGCAAACA